rnacentral:lncRNA from 1 species
AUUUUUGAUAUGGUGAUAUUAGCCCUUUUCAUCAAUGGGCCCGUGAACGCAGACAAGGUUAUAAAACUUCAGAUUUAGCUACACAGUGCACUCAUAGGUAUACAUUCGAUCUCAGAAUAUCGUCUUUUUCUCUGAAUCUUUCUUAUAUUCUACCCCGUCAAGGCGUCAACUGUUCUUUAAUCAUUUCUGUUGGACCAAUUUUUUCUUGGAAUUGAAAUGAGACAGAUACAAGAUUUAUGUUGAAGGGAUUGCAUGGUCAGUGAGUCAAAAGUACAUUCUACCCUGUGAUUUGUAUCUCUGCUCAUAAAUCCCCACUACUAUGAUUUCUUCACAAGGAGUUUGCUGCCAACAAUACAUUACUGGCCAAUAAAUCAGAAUGACAAAUGCAACUCCAUCAAGUUUGCAGUAGACCUGGGCAAUAAAAAUGCAGAAAAUGUCACAUUCUAUGUAUAUGACAGUGCUAAUUAAUCUUCUGUUACCUUAAUCGUUUUAAAAUUUUACUGUUUGAGCACAAUAACUGUCGACAGGCACAAGAAAUUGGAAAAUUAUGGAGCAAAUUUGUACAUAUUAUCAUAUGAAGUACAUUUCAUAUGAUAAUACAGAAGCAGGAGCAGAACGUACUGACAAACAAUUUGUUGCAGCAGUAAACAAACUUCAGGAAAAAAACAAUACAGUGGUAGUUCCAAAUGAUAUCCAACAGCAGUUUGUAGAACCAAUGUCGGUAAGAGGCAACAAUCAUGGUUGUGGAAUGAUGUACUCUGAUGUUUGCCUUUUCUUGAGAUCACUUUCUUAUUUGCAGUAGUUGCAUUAUUAUGAGUUGACAUCAUUAAACUAUUGUUUGCUUCUGAGCUCAACAGCCAGAAAAUACUAUCCUUCUAGACAGCGUCAAAAGAGAGGCCAACUGUUCUUCACUACAAGAAGAGUCUCAGUGAAUAUACUAAUGGGAGCACAAGUGAGUUAACCGUACAGAGGCUUCAGUUGUUGCAGUAUAUUUGAAGUGAAAGUUCAUCAAAUCUGUUAAAGAUGGCCCAAAUUCUAAACAAGCCCAUUAUACAAAAUUUGCUAGAGAAUUCCACUAAUAUCUAGAGAAUUCCACUUAUAUCUAGGGAAUUCCACUAAUAUCUAGAGAAUUCCACUAAUAUCUAGUCAAGGAAUUUGGUAGAAAGUUCCNNNN